GCUCUGGUGGCCUAGUGGUAAGAGCAUGUGCCUCGGAUGCAAAAGGUCCCGGGUUCGAUUUCCCAUUGAGUCAUACCA